rnacentral:rRNA from 1 species
ACCUACGGGGGGCAGCAGUAGGGAAUCUUCCACAAUGGACGAAAGUCUGAUGGAGCAACGCCGCGUGAGUGAAGAAGGGUUUCGGCUCGUAAAACCCUGUUGGUAGUGAAGAAAGAUAGAGGGAGUAACUGGCCUUUUUUUGACGGUAAUUAAUUAGAAAGUCACGGCUAACUACGUGCCAGCAGCCGCGGUAAUACGUAGGUGGCAAGGGUUGUCCGGAUUUAUUGGGCGUAAAGCGAAUGCAGGCGGU